GGCUUGUGGCUCAGUGGUAGCGUGCUCGCCUAGCAUGUGUGAGGCCCUGGGUUCGAUCCUCAGCACCA
rnacentral:tRNA from 1 species